AUGGAGAUGAUGAGAAAAUUCAGACGGAUUCCCAAUGAUCUCUCUUUGUUUAAAGAGAAGGUGAUCUUACAACCAGCUACUUCUGACUCAU